rnacentral:rRNA from 1 species
AUGGACAUGAACGGAGCUAACCAAGGCUGCGGCGAGGACUGCGACGCGGAGGGCUGCGAGCGCGGGGCGGACGGCUGCCAGGAAUGCGAGUGGUGGAGGCUGCACUGCUACUGGAGCCACGCUGGCGACCACCCGAGGCAGUUCUCCCUCGUCGCCGGCGACGAUUUCGCGGACCAUAUGCGCAUACGACCGCCGGUUGCAAGCCAUCUGAGAAACUUGAUCACUGAGUUCGAGGAGAUCCAACUUGAAGCUCCUGAUGGCCGUGUGUACCCUGUUAAAAUCGGUUGGGAGUUUGGUGACAUUGUUCUUAGGUCUGGAUGGCACGACUUUGUCAAGGCGCAUCACAUAGAACAAAACUCCUCCAUCCGGUUUGUGUACCGUGGGAACUCCAGCUUCGAGGUUCACAUAUCCGAUUCACCCGGUCACGGCAACUCUUCUCCACCACCUCCUGGUGAUUGUCAUGUGCCGAAUGAACAGGUGGUGCCUGAUCCUGCACAUGUUCAGACAUCAAUCAACAUUGACUAUACCGCAUUCCCUGGGACCAGGCUAAGCCAUGAACAAGAGAAGAAAGUGCUAGAACUAGCUCAGAGAAGCAUGAGGUCUGAAUUUCGUCUGCAUGUGGCAGCUGUGAACAAAAGGAAUGCCAACGGGGACUGCCAUGUUUACAUACCCUUGACGCUUUUGGACAGUUUCAAAGAGGGGAUAACUGAAGCUCCAAUUCAGCUCAAAGCCCAUAGCAACGACAUGAUAUAUGUUGUUGGCGCAAGCAAGCAUGGUGACGAUCAAGUAAUCCUCCAAUCUAAGUUGAGUCAUUUUGUAGAUGGUCACCGCAUGCAAGACAACGACCUCCUCGUCUUUAGAAGCAAGGGGAAAGCCCAGCUCGAAGUUCUUGUCCUUGACCCGAGCGGUUGUGAGAAAACCUGGUUUGACACGGGAAACUCUUCAAACGUUUCCAGAGAAGGCCGUCGUGCACACGCUCAGAACACGGCUUCAACAUCCUUCGGUUGGGCUAAAUCAGGACUCCAAGCUCGCGAGUCGAAUGAAGCAGGUUUACAAGCUCCUAGGUCCAACAACUACAUAUCAACCCAAUCGACCCCUCUACAUAGCCAACAGAAAGAGAAAGUCGAAGAGAGGGUUCGGGCAAUUGGUUCCCAAUUUCCUGUGUUUGUUAAAGUGGUUAGCUCCAGUGAGGUUGUUACCAAAACUUCUCUGUACUUGGGCCCGGAGUAUGCUUCGGCAUGUCUCCUGACCCAGCCAGGGCGCCUCCGCCUCCUGCUGGACGGCGACGACAGGGAUUGGGACUGCAUGUUGGGCUUGAGGAAAUCUAACAAAACUUGGUGGAUCGACAGAGCCUGGCCGAAAUUCAUCUCGGAUGUCGGGCUGGAGGAAGAUGACAUCUGCCUCUUCGAACUGACGGACACGAGCAGUCUCACGAUGAAGGUCCAUGUGAUCCGCAAGUCGGAUAUACCGGCGCCAUGA